GACGAACGCUGGCGGCGUGCUUAACACAUGCAAGUCGAGCGGUAAGGCCCCUUCGGGGGUACGACGAGCGGCGAACGGGUGAGUAACACGUGGGUGGACCUGCCCUCCAGCUCUGGGAUAAGCCUGGGAAACUGGGUCUAAUACCGGAUAUGACUCCAUGACGCAUGUCGUGGGGUGGAAAGCCUUGUGCGGCUGGGGAUGGGCCCGCGGCCUAUCAGCUUGUUGGUGGGGUGAUGGCCUACCAAGGCGACGACGGGUAGCCGGCCUGAGAGGGCGACCGGCCACACUGGGACUGAGACACGGCCCAGACUCCUACGGGAGGCAGCAGUGGGGAAUCUUGCGCAAUGGGCGAAAGCCUGACGCAGCGACGCCGCGUGAGGGAUGACGGCCU
rnacentral:rRNA from 1 species